GGUUGGUUAGCUCAGUUGGUUAGAGCGUCGAGCUGAUAUCCAAGUAACUCGAAGGUCAUGGGUUCGACCCCCCUACUGACCA